rnacentral:rRNA from 1 species
AGAGUUUGAUCCUGGCUCAGGACGAACGCUGACGGUGUGCUUUAGGCAUGCAAGUCGAACGAGAAAGCCCUUCGGGGUGAGUAAAGUGGCGAACGGGUGAGUAACACGUGGGCAACCUGCCCCUCGCAGGGGGACAACCGGAGGAAACUCCGGCUAAUACCCCGUACGCUUGUUGGAUCGCAUGGUCCGGCAAGGAAAGGUAGCUUCGGCCAUCCGGCGAGGGAUGGGCCCGCGUUGCAUUAGCUAGUUGGUGGGGUAACGGCCUACCAAGGCGACGAUGCGUAGCUGGUCUGAGAGGAUGAUCAGCCACACUGGGACUGAGACACGGCCCAGACUCCUACGGGAGGCAGCAGCCAGGAAUCUUGGGCAAUGGGCGAAAGCCUGACCCAGCAACACCGUGUGGGCGAUGAAGGCCUUAGGGUCGUAAAGCCCUGUUGAUAGGGACGAAGGGCGAAGGGUUAAUAGCCCCUAGCUUGACGGUACCUUUCGAGGAAGCCCCGGCUAACUACGUGCCAGCAGCCGCGGUAAUACGUAGGGGGCGAGCGUUGUCCGGAAUUAUUGGGCGUAAAGAGCGUGUAGGCGGUUCGGUAAGUCUGCUGUGAAAUCCUGGGGCUCAACCCCUGGGCGUGCAGCGGAUACUGCCGGGCUAGAGGGUGGUAGAGGCGAGUGGAAUUCCGAGUGUAGCGGUGAAAUGCGCAGAUAUUCGGAGGAACACCAGUAGCGAAGGCGGCUCGCUGGGCCACACCUGACGCUGAGACGCGAAAGCGUGGGGAGCGAACAGGAUUAGAUACCCUAGUAGUCC